CCUACGGGAGGCAGCAGUGAGGAAUAUUGGUCAAUGGGCGAGAGCCUGAACCAGCCAAGUCGCGUGAGGGAGUACUGCCCUAUGGGUUGUAAACCUCUUUUGUCGGGGAGCAAAAGCCGGACGUGUCCGGCUGUGAGAGUACCCGAAGAAAAAGCAUCGGCUAACUCCGUGCCAGCAGCCGCGGUAAUACGGAGGAUGCGGGGGUUAUCCGGAUUUUUUGGGUUAAAAGGGGGCGCAGGCGGAUUUGUAAGUCAGCGGGAAAAGCGUGGGGCUAAACCCCAUCCAGCCGUUGAAACUGGGGAUCUAGAGUGUGCGAGAGGUAUGCGGAAUGCGUGGUGUAGCGGUGAAAUGCAUAGAUAUCACGCAGAACCCCGAUUGCGAAGGCAGCAUACCGGUGCACAACUGACGCUCAGGCACGAAAGCGUGGGUAUCGAACAGGAUUAGAUACCCUUGUAGUC
rnacentral:rRNA from 1 species